CAAGAGUCCGAGGCUUAACUGACUGAGCCACCCAGGUGAAACUGGAGUGAGGCAAGACAAGAAGAGAGAUGGCACAAAGUCCAGGCAAGAAAUUGUGGUGGCCUGGAUCAAAGAUCAUGGCAAAAUAGCUGGUUCCUUGUGGGGUCAGUUAGCUGCGCACUUCACGGAGUUACCAAUUGUGAGAGAAGCAGGUCUGCGAAGCCGAGUGGGGAUAGAAGAGCACAAAGAGUCAUACACUAUCUCUAACAACUAAUUUCACUUAAUGUGAAAAUGAAUGGAUAAUCGCUAAUCACCGGCAAUAAAUGCUAAGCUACAAAAUGGUACUUUAUUUAAAAAAGGAGAGAAAAGAAAUAAAAUCACUGCAGAUGUCAUCACAAUCCUCAUUCCUUUCUUACCUUUGCUUCUGAGUGAGCUUUGAUGGAAUAUGGAGCCACAACAUGAUUAGUCUGCCACUACUUCCUGCUUAGCAACUAGAAGACUUGGAUUGGCCUAGUCUUCAGGCCAAGGACAUCACCACCCAACCAAACCACUGGCUACAUCAUAUGAGUUGGUAUACAAUUGAACCUCUCGCUAUUUCUUGUUCCAAGCAAAAUAAAUAACCAAAUGCACUGCU